rnacentral:rRNA from 1 species
UACGUAGGUGACAAGCGUUGUCCGGAUUUACUGGGCGUAAAGAGCGCGCAGGCGGUCGGUCAAGUCGAGUGUGAAAGCCCCCGGCUCAACUGGGGAGGGUCAUUCGAUACUGAUCGACUCGAAGGCAGGAGAGGGUAGUGGAAUUCCCGGUGUAGUGGUGAAAUGCGUAGAUAUCGGGAGGAACACCAAUUGCGAAGGCAGCUCGCUGGGACGUAACUGACGCUGAGACGCGAAAGCGUGGGGAGCAAACAGG